AAGGAUCAUUACCUAGAGUUGCGGGCUUUGCCUGCCAUCUCUUACCCAUGUCUUUUGAGUACCUUCGUUUCCUCGGCGGGUCCGCCCGCCGAAUGGACAAAACUUAAACCCUUUGUAGUUGCAAUCAGCGUCUGAACAAACUUAAUAGUUACAACUUUCAACAACGGAUCUCUUGGUUCUGGCAUCGAUGAAGAACGCAGCGAAAUGCGAUAAGUAGUGUGAAUUGCAGAAUUCAGUGAAUCAUCGAAUCUUUGAACGCACAUUGCGCCCCUUGGUAUUCCAGGGGGCAUGCCUGUUCGAGCGUCAUUUGUACCUUCAAGCUUUGCUUGGUGUUGGGUGUUUGUCUCGCCUCUGCGCGCAGACUCGCCUCAAAACAAUUGGCAGCCGGCGUAUUGAUUUCGGAGCGCAGUACAUCUCGCGCCUCGCACUCAUAACGUUGACGUCCAAAAAGUACAUUUUUUAACACUCUUGACCUCGGAUCAGGUAGGGAUACCCGCUGAACUUAA
rnacentral:rRNA from 1 species